GCGGGGACCCCAGUCGGGGAGGGGCGCGCGACCGUCCCUGCCCGGGAAAGCACCGGAGCCUGCAGAGGCCGGGGAGGAUGGUGAGCUGGUAACACCACAGGCCGCUGGCAUCAAAAUCCAUGAGCACCUGGGGCUGGUGACAAUGAAGGCAGCAGAGAACAAUGGAGAGCAAUGAAGACCACAAGAAGCCACUAUCUCUGGAAGCCAGAAGAGUUCCUGUGACCUGUUGGUGCUGAGGAUGGAACCGAGGGCCUCUUGCAUGUUAAACAAGCGCUCUAUCACUGUGCUGUGUCUCCAGCCCAAAAGUGUUUUUCAAGAUCUCUUUUUCUGCUCUCAUUUCACUGGAAAGGUCUCCACAGGAUGUUCAUAUUUUCCGUCCGUUGGCUGCCCGACUUGUACUCAACCUUUUUUUUC
ensembl:lncRNA